rnacentral:rRNA from 2 species
UGCAAGUCGAACGAUGAAGCCUAGCUUGCUAGGUGGAUUAGUGGCGAACGGGUGAGUAAUACGUGAGUAACCUACCUUUAACUCUGGGAUAAGCCUGGGAAACUGGGUCUAAUACCGGAUACGACCAAUCUCCGCAUGGGGUGUUGGUGGAAAGCGUUAUGUAGUGGUUAUAGAUGGGCUCACGGCCUAUCAGCUUGUUGGUGAGGUAAAGGCUCACCAAGGCGACGACGGGUAGCCGGCCUGAGAGGGUGACCGGCCACACUGGGACUGAGACACGGCCCAGACUCCUACGGGAGGCAGCAGUGGGGAAUAUUGCACAAUGGGCGCAAGCCUGAUGCAGCGACGCCGCGUGAGGGAUGACGGCCUUCGGGUUGUAAACCUCUGUUAGCAGGGAAGAAGAGAAAUUGACGGUACCUGCAGAGAAAGCGCCGGCUAACUACGUGCCAGCAGCCGCGGUAAUACGUAGGGCGCGAGCGUUGUCCGGAAUUAUUGGGCGUAAAGAGCUUGUAGGCGGUUUGUCGCGUCUGCUGUGAAAGGCCGGGGCUUAACCCCGUGUAUUGCAGUGGGUACGGGCAGACUAGAGUGCAGUAGGGGAGACUGGAAUUCCUGGUGUAGCGGUGGAAUGCGCAGAUAUCAGGAGGAACACCGAUGGCGAAGGCAGGUCUCUGGGCUGUAACUGACGCUGAGAAGCGAAAGCAUGGGGAGCGAACAGGAUUAGAUACCCUGGUAGUCCAUGCCGUAAACGUUGGGCACUAGGUGUGGGGGACAUUCCACGUUUUCCGCGCCGUAGCUAACGCAUUAAGUGCCCCGCCUGGGGAGUACGGCCGCAAGGC